CGGGAAACCGGAGCUAAUACCGGAUAAUAUAUUGAACCGCAUGGUUCAAUAGUGAAAGACGGUUUGCUGUCACUUAUAGAUGGAUCCGCGCCGCAUUAGCUAGUUGGUAAGGUAACGGCUUACCAAGGCAACGAUGCGUAGCCGACCUGAGAGGGUGAUCGGCCACACUGGAACUGAGACACGGUCCAGACUCCUACGGGAGGCAGCAGCA
rnacentral:rRNA from 1 species